UGUAAAGUCUCUAGCAAUUGUAAUUCCUGAGGUCUCAGUCGGACAGUCGGCCAUAACGAAUAUAAUAGCGUAUUUUUUUCCAAAAAUGCGCUAAAAAAGGUGCAAUGCGCGCUUUUUGGUUUGAGUUAUUAUAUAAUCUGUCCUGUCAAGAAUUAUUGGUACUUUUGUACCUAAGAAGUCAAUUUCAUAUACAAACUGCCGCAACGAAAAUUUGUACCACGACAUUGAUUUUUAAGUUUCAAACUUUGAAACCAAAGCGCGAUUUUUAGGGGAAACAAAAUUGUGAUGUGAUGGUUUUGUCCAUCUAUCUGUCUGUUCCUCGUCUAACUCGAGAACGAAAAAAGACAGCGAUGUGAACCUUCGUCAAUCGAUCUCUACGAGUUCAAGGAUCAGUGGCGCUAUUGAAUAUAUGAGCCGGAUGCGAGUUGAUUUAAUUCGGUUCGAGCGGUGCACAAACGAUUUACUGCGCAGUGAUUAACUUAUUUGCGGAAUAUUUACGAAAUUCCUCUGGUAGAGUCAAAACUUCAUAUGCGAAUAUCUUGAGAAUCGAGUGUCGGAAGUCAUGUACUCACAAAGGGAAAGUGGGAACGGAGUGUGGGAACAGGUACCCACUCACAAAGGAAAAAGGGACGAGACGCACAGUGAAUAUUAAAGUUUUUUGCUAGAUGCAUGUGUGCAAAUUUGAAUUUGGAUAUCUCUAGAACUAUUUGGUGUAAUGAAGUCCUAUGUUUUGAAUAACCUAAUUGUUUAUUCUGUCUUUUAUUACUAUGUAUUGUUAUGUUAACAUCCUGUCACCCUUCUAGAACUUAAACCCCUGGUGCUUGCUUUAGUUCGUAUAUUAGGUAGGUAGUAAGUAUCUUAUAAGUUAUUAAUAGGACUUCCCCAAACGUUAAAUAAAAACAUUGAGUAAUUUCCUAAUCCUUCACUCAACGAUAAAAGUAAGUUUUUAAGGUGUUAAGUGACAUAUUUCCGCAAGAAAAGAGUGACAUGAUGGUAGUUCAA